rnacentral:snoRNA from 1 species
CUCCUAGAGGCUUUGCAGGUGUGGCUGCUCUGUCACAUGUCUGUCAGUAGGUGGCAGAGAGGAGAGAAGUUACUUCUAUGCUCAGUGUUCUGACCUGUGAAUAUCUGAGUGAUUAGUAGCCUCACAAU